rnacentral:rRNA from 1 species
AGUAAUAGUUAUAUUCUUGAAACUCAAAAAAUUUGGCGGUAUUUUAGACUAUUCAGAGGAACCUGUAAUGUAAUUGAUAAUCCACGAUGGACCUUACUUAAAUUUGUCUAUUCAGUUUGUAUAUCGCCGUUAUUUGAGAAUUUUAGGAGAAAAAUAAUUUUCAAGAUUUUUAAUAUAAAAARUAAAUCAGGYCAAGGKGCAGCUUAUGUUUAAGUAUAAUAUGGGUUACAAUAAAAUUAUUUAAAAAACGRAAUUAAGUUUGAAAUAAUUUAAUGAAGGAGGAUUUGAAAGUAAAUUUUUAAAGAUUAAAAUUUUGAUUUUAGCUCUAAAAUAUGCACAUWUCGCCCGUCGCUCUUGUUAAUAAUAUAAGAUAAGUCGUAACAUAGUANAGGUACCGGAAGGUGUUUYUAGAAUGACAAUUUGAAGCUUAUUUAGUAAAGUAUUUCAUUUACAUUGAAAUGAUUAUUGUGCAAAUCAAUAUAAAUUGAUAAUAUAUAAUUAUUAAUAUUUUUUUUUAUAAUGUUAAUAUUAGAAAUAACUAUAAKAUUAUUUGUUAAAGUAUUUUUUAAAGAAAUAAUUAUUAAUUAUAAUAGUUUAUUAGUAAAUUAAUUGAAUUUUGAAAUA